rnacentral:rRNA from 1 species
UACGUAGGGUCCGAGCGUUGUCCGGAAUUAUUGGGCGUAAAGGGCUCGUAGGCGGUUUGUCGCGUCGGGUGUGAAAACCCGGGGCUUAACCCCGUGCCUGCUUCCGAUACGGGCAGACUAGAGGUAUGCAGGGGAGAACGGAAUUCCCGGUGUAGUGGUGAAAUGCGUAGAGAUCAGCAGGAACACCCGUGGCAAAGGCGGCCCCCUGGGCCGAACCUGACGCUGAGGCGCGAAGGCUAGGGGAGCGAACGGG